rnacentral:rRNA from 1 species
CCUACGGGUGGCUGCAGUGAGGAAUAUUGGUCAAUGGACGAAAGUCUGAACCAGCCAAGUAGCGUGAAGGAUGACUGCCCUAUGGGUUGUAAACUUCUUUUAUAUGGGAAUAAAACGUUCCACGUGUGGGAUUUUGUAUGUACCAUAUGAAUAAGGAUCGGCUAACUCCGUGCCAGCAGCCGCGGUAAUACGGAGGAUCCGAGCGUUAUCCGGAUUUAUUGGGUUUAAAGGGAGCGUAGGUGGAUUGUUAAGUCAGUUGUGAAAGUUUGCGGCUCAACCGUACAAUUGCAGUUGAAACUGGCAGUCUUGAGUACAGUAGAGGUGGGCGGAAUUCGUGGUGUAGCGGUGAAAUGCUUAGAUAUCACGAAGAACUCCGAUUGCGAAGGCAGUUCACUGGACUGCAACUGACACUGAGGCGCGAAAGUGUGGGUAUCAAACAGGAUUAGAUACCCUUGUAGUC